rnacentral:tRNA from 1 species
AAUGAAGUGCCUGACUAAAGGAUUAUCUUGAUAGGAUAAAUUAAGUAAAUUCUAUUUACCUUCAUUA